rnacentral:rRNA from 1 species
GACGAACGCUGGCGGCGUGCUUAACACAUGCAAGUCGAACGGAAAGGCCCUGCUUUUGUGGGGUGCUCGAGUGGCGAACGGGUGAGUAACACGUGAGUAACCUGCCCUUGACUUUGGGAUAACUUCAGGAAACUGGGGCUAAUACCGGAUAGGAGCUCCUGCUGCAUGGUGGGGGUUGGAAAGUUUCGGCGGUUGGGGAUGGACUCGCGGCUUAUCAGCUUGUUGGUGGGGGAGUGGCUUACCAAGGCUUUGACGGGUAGCCGGCCUGAGAGGGUGACCGGCCACAUUGGGACUGAGCUACGGCCCAGACUCCUACGGGAGGCAGCAGUGGGGAAUAUUGCACAAUGGGCGGAAGCAUGAUGCAGCAACGCCGCGUGCGGGAUGACGGCCUACGGGUUGUAAACCGCUUUCGCCUGUGACGAAGCGUGAGUGACGGUAAUGGGUAAAGAAGCACCGGCUAACUACGUG